UUUCAACCAAACAAUCGUCAUGAAAAACUAUUUUUCUUUUCCUACAAACCAAACACAAACGACGUAAAACUUUUUUCCCACCGAAAAUUUUUUUCCACAAUUUUACUUGGAACCAAACACACCCUAAGUGUUUUACCUAUGGUUAAUUAAAAUUUUCUAACGGAUCCUAAUGGUAGGGACAUAUUUAAAAAUAGUAGGACUUUUGUAGAGAUAAUGUGAGAAAGUUAAAUUUUAUAGAAAUAUAUUUGUAAUUCGCUAUAUUUACAGGGAGUUGUAUGCAAUUAAUUCAAAAAAUAAAUAAUUCGAAUAUUAUUGGACUUUUGCAGGAAUAAGAUACGAAAGUUGAACUUUGUAGGAAUAUAUAUUCAAUUCGCUAUGUUUAUAGAGAGUUGUAUACAAUUAACCCUUUUUAUAAUUAACUAAUUAAG
rnacentral:lncRNA from 1 species